rnacentral:lncRNA from 1 species
UGUGCUCAGACGGUGAGCACAGCUCCCAGCUCCCAGAGGGGCGGGUCGUCCCCAGCAGGCCUCGCCAUCAGCCACCACCCACGACAGGCAGGCUCCCCUGACAGCCCCGCUCCACGCAGCUGGCCGCCCCCGCCCUCCGGUCAGCCCGGUUUCCUGCCCCUCCCUCUCUCCUCCCUCCAGCUGUUUGGCAGAGGCCUGUCCCAUUCAGGACAGCAGCCCUGGUGAGCAAAGAGCGCAGGAGCCUCCGGGGGAUGAGAAUGUUCUAGGGGGGCUGAACUCUGGUCUAUUUGAGGGGCCCUUGAAUGAAUGGAUGCACUGCUUUCUGGGCAAACGGCCACAGCCAAAGGACAGUGUGAUUUCAAGAAAGAAGUCGGGGAACACGGGUCUCCUGCACAACCUCGAGUGGUCUGAAGUCACCGAACGCUUGGGAACACCUGGGCAGAGAAGACCGGCCACAAGCUGCAUAUCAGCGGAGCUCAGAGAAACCGAACAGGCCUGGGAGGCCGUGAGGGUGUUUCCAGCUGUGUUUGGGAACUGAUUGGCCAAGGACCCACAUUGGAGAGCUUUGGGCAUCGUAACAGUGAACGGUAAGGGACACGGGAUCUGAACUCAUCUCUCCAAAGGGCAUCAGUGGGGGACGAGGAUGAGGUGGGUGCACUGUCAGUGCAGCUGUCCCUGGGUUUUGGAAAUAUGGUCGGAACCAAGUUCGCAGCACUACGCACCUCUCCUUCAUUGCGCUUAGCAUUGUUGCGAUUUUUUCCAUGAUUUGAGGAGUUUUUUUGAUGAAUAGUUGUCUCCCACUAGACUGUAAGGGAAAGGGGAGGGUCCCAGAGAGGAAGCAAAAACAUGGUGGUCCAGAGGGACCAUAGACUCUGAAGCUGGGGCCUGACUCCUGGCUCUGCCUCUUCCCAGCUGUAUGACUUUGGGCACGUGACUCAAGCUCUCUGUGCCUCAGUUUCCUCAUCUG